rnacentral:rRNA from 1 species
UACGUAGGGUGCAAGCGUUAUCCGGAAUUAUUGGGCGUAAAGAGCUCGUAGGCGGUUUGUCGCGUCUGCCGUGAAAAGUCCGGGGCUCAACUCCGGAUCUGCGGUGGGUACGGGCAGACUAGAGUGAUGUAGGGGAGACUGGAAUUCCUGGUGUAGCGGUGAAAUGCGCAGAUAUCAGGAGGAACACCGAUGGCGAAGGCAGGUCUCUGGGCAUUAACUGACGCUGAGGAGCGAAAGCAUGGGGAGCGAACAGG